CAGGUCCGUCGGUUCCAGUGCUUGCUCCGCGGGUCCGCCGUCUCGCCAUUCUGCCUAAUGCAGGCUCUGGCCGGCCGUGCUCCAACCAAGCCACAUGCUCAACUCCAAAUCGUUUAAUAGUACUCCAUCAUUUACUGAGGCAUGACAAUCGUGGUUUGCAUACAUACAAACUUGACUAAUAUACCGUAGAGGACUUCCCUGUUGUUUAGAUGUGACUGCUAGCAGAAGUGAUGUACCGUGAAACUACAAAGUUGUAUUUCUGUGUCAUGUUCAUGUGAGACUUUGAGAGAACUGUGAGGAACUAAAAUAAGUACCAAGAGUUCAGGUUCAGGUGAGAUAAGUAAAUCUGUGCUCAACAUAGAUUAGCAGUGACACAAUUUAUAUAUUGAACAGUACUAAUUAGGCUCAGUUUUGAACAGGAAAGCUAUGAACAAAAGAAAAUCUAUUCAGUGGUAGAUGAUAAGUACACAAGUUUAUACAUGUAAAUGAGCUGUGUAUACAAGUUGCUACCAUUUGCAUUUGUUGCCUCUGAAAAUCUGCAACUGUACAUCUAUUAAUCUAUACACUUGCUCAUGGUGCAGUUAUGUAAAUCAAUGCCAUGCUUAGUUGCAUGUUUAAUUAGGAGUAAAGAGAUGAAAUUGAACCAUAAGUUCAGGUUUGGGGAUGUUUUGUUUAGGGCAUGACUGGCAUUGCUUUUAUCAUGGCGCAGGUUAAUAAUUCGUCGAGCCGUUCCAAAAGUUUGUCGGUGUAGCUAUCAGGAUGAGGUUCAGAGUUUUUUGCCAGAAAUUUUACGACUACGUGAGGUAUGAUCUCAAAGAGAUCAUGUUCCUGUCUUCUCUGCCAGAUCCUCCGGGCACCAAGAGGCAUCCUAAGCUCACACUAAAAGAUGGGAUUCUAUACUGUAUAUGUUUCAGUGUGUGUUUCUCUUGAGCCUUGAUUUGAUUCAAAUAUGUGAACAAGAAGUUCAGCAACCAGUCUAAGGCUAUGAUGGAAGCCGAUUUCCUCUACAAGGAGGUGCCUUCAAGGAUAGAAUCUUCUUCACGCUGAAGACUUCUCCGAUCUGAAGCGCAAGGAGAUACCUCAGCAAGAUAAUAUGGCCGUCCUCCUCUCAUAGCCAUGUGCAUGGUCAUGCUCACCCAGCCACCCUGCCAAGCAAGAUAAUUAUGGCCGUCCUCCUCAUAACCUUUUACUAUCUCAUAGCCACCCUGUCAUCACUCUGUUACUUUUGUUAUUAAUUUCUUAUUGUAAUGUAGCUAUAAAUCUCUAUCAAAAUGCAAGGACUUGUGUCUGACUAAUUUACAUUAAAGGUACGGGAGUUCACGGAGUGCAUGCCAAUGAGGAGGGAGCUGAAGAAGGUGAAGAUCCCAAUGAGAUAAAGAAGAUGAACUAGCGCUCGCUCUAGAUGAAGAUGUCUUGCAUUUGUGCCAACAACUGUUUGUGUUCAAACCUGAACAAAAACUGCUUCGUGUAGUGUUACGGGUGAGGUUUUAAUUUGCUUUCCCUUGCCCAAUCUUGUAGGAAGUUUGUUAUCUUACAUGCUAUCACAUACUUUUCAUAAUGCAUGGACAGAAUUGCUAGCAUUGGUUGCGUAUUAGAUGAUUCUGUUGAUGCAUGGGAUGAAUUGUUAUAGAACUUAAUAGGUACCCAACAUUUAUAUAUAUGUUUGUCAGAGCUGAGAACAUUUGUGUCGAGAGUUUUCAAAGUCUCUACUCCACUACCUCCUUUCGCCAGAACUUAGGCGCUUCUCCCGCCGGCGUACACUCAGAGGUAAAUAAAUAGGCACUCGGAUGUGAUGUGAGCUGUAAUGUGAAUUCUAAUAAGUAUUCUCUUUUCCUGAAUAUUUUCUGAUAAUUUAGUGCCACUUUAUCUGCAAAAUUGCGUUUUCUGACAAAUUGGGUUCCAGUUCACCUGUAGAAUGAGGAGGGUCAUGGUCGCUAGAGUUACUAGGAACAUUCAUAAUCUGGGAAAACAUUAUCCAGGUGGGGUAGGUAAAUAUAUGGUAUUGAUCAACUCCACUGUCAACUUGUCAGUUUACAACGAUACAUGAAACUCUUCACCCAGUGAUGAUAAGAUGGCAUCCACCCUAGAUUGUGAAUUACUAUUUUUUGUAAGCAUGUUAAUGAUCGGAACCUGCAAGUGCUUGGUGAGCCGUAUGCAGAGUAAAUGAAUGUUCCUCCUCCUGGAAGGCAUAUGUAAGGCAUUGAGCUUUUGUGAGAUCUGAAUUUUGAAGUGCAACAUCAGUGAACUUGGUAGAAAAUAGUUGAAUGUGAAGAAGCAACACAAUGCUAAAAAAAACUUAGUCGGUGUGUAAUUAUGUAGGACUACAACCAGGCUUUAUUAGUUCCCCAGUUCUUGUGUCUGGCUGUGAAUCUUUAUUUUGCAAGUUGGGUGGUGGGAGUUAGGAAGACAUGAAGGUAAACCAUGAAGAGCAAGAAAAAUUAUAGAGGUGAGUUGAGACUUCCUGAGUUGUCUCUGAAUCAGAAUUGUUGAUAAUUAUUUAUGUUUGUUUAGAGUUCCAAUUGGAUGCCGGCUUUAGAAUUUGGUGUAUGGUGGAUCCAAGACAACAUAGUGGAAAUAAUCCAAGAAAAAUCUUAUAAUGGAGUAUACGUUUUCUUCCUAUUAUAUUUACGAGCUUACAUCCAGACAACUUGUAUUUAUCUUUAAACAAUGUAAAUUUCGUGCGUCUUUUACUAUGUGUUAGUAGAAAUUAAAAGUUAGAGAAUUUAUUUGUUUGCUAAAGUAGAAUAAAUUUUGGAGCAUUCAUUGAUCAAUAUCUGUUGUUUCGCAAUCAGGUGAACAUGCUCUUUGACAUGUGGAACUCAUCGAGAUGGUGCAGCACGGGUUGUGCUGCAUUGCCUUCUGCAGGCACUGGCCCACGCGCGCGAGGUGCCUGAGGAGGCGACAACAAUAGCACUUGAAAUAGCAGCCUCCAUUUGCUUAUACCGGGCAGGAACGUGGCAAGUGAACGGCGACAGAUCGAGGCAGACCUCUUCGGCGGGACUUUACAAAAGACCAAGAAACUCCAAAAGGGGUCAAAACAAACAAAAAAGGGAAUAAAAAUGACACAGUGCAAUACUUUUUUUUCACACAUCCUCACUUCUGAGUCUAACCAUGGUCCGAGUAUAGAAAGUUUAGCAGCCAUUUGUCAGUAGAAAUAGCAAAGUAGAGAGCAUAAGUGGUGUUUCAAGUGGUACACAAAAUAGAAUUAUAUUGUUGUAACAAAGAUCAUCAAUCGUGUAUAUGUGUAUUCUAAGAUACCCUUUACAAGUUCACGUGCCUUUCUUAUAAUAUUACAAAGAGUAACAUUAGCCAGAUUCA